rnacentral:lncRNA from 1 species
AUGGGCUCUCAGAAGGCGGGAAAAAGCUGAACAAUGUAAUUCCAUCCCCAGGCUGAAACACAUUAGCGCGUUUGGCAAGUGCUCUAUCAGAGGGCCAUCAGACUGAGGCUCGUGCAUGAGGGGAUAGCAUGCUUUUACUUUCACUCUCUUUGUAUUAAAAAACGAUUUCCCGGUCGGAAUAUUAUCGCUUUUUUACGAGAAAAAUUGCAUAAAAAUUGAUUUUAAACAGCGGUUGACAUGCUUCGAAGUACGGUAAUGGAAUAUUUAGAAAUGUUUUGUCACGAAAAGCGUUGUGCUCAUCACCCUUAUUUACCCUUUCGGAUAGUGUCUUGAACGCACAAACAAAACGCCGCUAUUUGGAUAUAACAAUGGAUUAUUUGGGACCAAACCAACAUUUGUUAUUGAAGUAGAAGUCCUGGGAGUGCAUUCUGACGAAGAACAGCAAAGGGAUUCCAGCACGGGCUCUACCACCCAUGACAGCCCAUCAGCUCACUACAGUUGAAAUAAAGUAUGCAGAUAUCUGCACAGUUUUGUGCGAAUUGGAAACUUUUCUGGCUGGCGGUCACAUUGCCCUGAUGUUUUCGUUACAAAUAAUAACUUUGGACAUGUGUGCAUUCCUACAGUAUCAAAAGUCGUGGCUGAACGAUGACAUGGAUAAUAUAGAGCUAGCAGGAUUUUCCAUGCAUCGGCAGGACAGAGAAGCUACUUCUGCUCCAAUGCAUAGCGAUUGGUCUCCUCCACUAUGUCUCCCACCAGCUCCUCUGUCAUAAUCAGCUUGAAACUAUCUGCCUCAGAGGUAGAUGGCAAGGGGCUUUGCAUUCCAGACUGGGACUCAUCAAAGCUAACAGCAGGGCCAGCAGGGGUGAAAUGACUGGAGGUCUUCCAGCUUCCGCAGACCUGCCGUACUUCACCCACUGUUGAUCUGCCUCCAUCACCACCAGCAUUUUCAGAGGGAUCUCGGACUUAGUCAAUGGGCAUAUAUUCAAAUUUAGUGGAAGCUCUUCACUGUCACUGCCAGAAUCUGGUUCCUCACUUUCAUUCUCAGACUCAAUUUCAGAAUUUACAAAAAUCUCCAGAAUUGUUGACUCCAUUUGAAAGACAUUACUAAUGCACGGGGGGCCAGCACGGGAAGAAGAAAAAAAAUGUAUGAAAUGUAUGCAUUCACUACUGUAAGUCGCUCUGGAUAAGAGCGUCUGCUAAAUGACUAAAAUGUAAAAAAAAAAAUGUAAAAUGUAAUGCUACAGCUUAGCAUAACAACAUCAUGGAAUGGCUCACAGUGAGUGUCAUAGGUUAGCUGAUUGACCACUUGUAUCAAUAAAUCAUUAUCAGAAAAUGGUUUGUGUGGUAAUAAUUGAUUUAUUUACUGCUUCAAGUAUUGGUAAAAUAAAAUAAAUAAAAAUGUUGUGCUGACUAUAAUGCGCUAAUUACCAGCUAUGUGUGGAGCCAUAUUUGUUCGCAUUAUACAAUGUGUUCUGGGUGUCAUCUAAACGUCUGUCAGACCAAAGAUGUUAUAUCAAAACACGGUGAAGGGAUGGUUCACUCGUCUCUUGAGUAAAUUGAGUAAAUUUGUGGAACAUUUGGCGAAAAGGGUCAGUAUUAGGGGAUAUCUUUAUCUAUUUAUCUCCAGAUAUCUCACAUUAUAUUAGAUAUCAGAAGUAGACAUGCUCAAGAUACACAUGUCCUUAAUUUCAUUUACGGAGGUAAGAUAAAGUAUUCUCCGUGAUGGGACAGUUUCCACAUGCAUCCAAUCCAGACAUCCGGGAGUCCAGGGAGAUAUCUGGAGUGAGAUACAUUCAAAACACACAUGUGAUGCACGUGCACCCACUUACUCCGGAAAGGGUACGAGUCAACAUGUUGACUUAUACAGGGCAUGAACAAAUCCACAUACAAUGACUUCGGAAAGUAUCCAGACCCCUUGACUUUUUCAACAUUUUGUUACGUAACGGCCUUAUUCUAAAAUGGGUUAAAACAUUUUUAAAUCCUCAGCAAUCUACACACAAUAGCCCGUAGUGACAGAGCAAAAACAGUUUUUU